GGAUUUACUGGGCGUAAAGCGCGCGUAGGUGGUUAAUUAAGUCAAAUGUGAAAUCCCCGAGCUUAACUUGGGAAUUGCUUCGAUACUGGUUAGCUAGAGUAUAGGAGAGGAUGGUAGAAUUCCAGGUGUAGCGGUGAAAUGCGUAGAGAUCUGGAGGAAUACCGAUGGCGAAGGCAGCCAUCUGGCCUAAUACUGACACUGAGGUGCGAAAGCAUGGGGAGCAAACAGGAUUAGAUACCCUGGUAGUCCAUGCCGUAAACGAUGUCUACUAGCCGUUGGGGGAUUUGAUCCUUUAGUGGCGCAGCUAACGCGAUAAGUAGACCGCCUGGGGAGUACGGUCGCAAGACUAAAACUCAAAUGAAUUGACGGGGGCCCGCACAAGCGGUGGAGCAUGUGGUUUAAUUCGAUGCAACGCGAAGAACCUUACCUGGCCUUGACAUAGUAGAAACUUUCCAGAGAUGGAUUGGUGCCUUCGGGAAUCUACAUACAGGUGCUGCAUGGCUGUCGUCAGCUCGUGUCGUGAGAUGUUGGGUUAAGUCCCGCAACGAGCGCAACCCUUUUCCUUACUUGCCAGUAUUUCGGAUGGGAACUUUAAGGAUACUGCCAGUGACAAACUGGAGGAAGGCGGGGACGACGUCAAGUCAUCAUGGCCCUUACGGCCAGGGCUACACACGUGCUACAAUGGUCGGUACAAAGGGUUGCUACCUCGCGAGAGGAUGCUAAUCUCAAAAAGCCGAUCGUAGUCCGGAUCGCAGUCUGCAACUCGACUGCGUGAAGUCGGAAUCGCUAGUAAUCGCGGAUCAGAAUGCCGCGGUGAAUACGUUCCCGGGCCUUGUACACACCGCCCGU
rnacentral:rRNA from 1 species